UCUCAGACCACUGAAAUUACAAUAUCCUGAAAGAUUAUUAUGAAAUUUAGCCCAAGAAUGGCUAAACUG